UCGCCACUAAAAUGCAGUCGGGCCUUAACAAACGAAGAUAAAUAGGAAAUUUAGCAAAAAAAUCCAAAUAAUUAGGGAAUUAAUGUGUGAUCUCUAAUGAUAAAAGCUACCCUAAAAUGCCCCUUGAUUCAUCCGAGCGUAAAAUACUGGAAUUUGAACCGUGGAAUACCUGUUGGCUAAUGAUAGUCAUCGGUUAUACUCACACUUAUGUGUGAUCACCUGUUUGGCUGGAAAUUGCACCGAAUAAAUUGUAUCUUCCGGAAAUAAUUUAGGGGGAUAGGGCACAAAUGAUAGAGGUCAAGGAUCCUCUUCCAGUUUUUUUUUCACCUCUCCGAACAUUCCAGCCACUCUCCCAGUGAUCAUCAAUGGGCAUAAGACACAUAAUUUAAUUCAGAUCUAGACUUUGAUGCAUAGCUCCAUUUCAAGCACUUGGAUUACCGAAGGGUGUAUGAAAUUGGCUAAAUUUGAGAUAAAUUUGAACUCUCUCUGGUUUUCUGCUUUCUUGCAUUUCAGGAAAAUCCAUUCAGGAAAUGCAUUGUUGCUUACGUUGGAGGAAAAUAGUUUGAUGCAGAAAUCAAAGGAAAAAUAAAUUUAUUGCAAGUAUGAGGCAGCAUUCCCCAACAUGACAAUUGAAAAUCUCUGCACAACUUAAUUUAGUUAAUGAUAUACUGGGCUUGUAUAAAUCGUCUUCAUUGUCUUUCCCAUUCAUUCGACAAACACAACAAUUACCAAUCAGUGAACAUUUGCACUAAUUUCUAUCCGGACUACCCUUAUUCUGCGUCCAUUCAGCAACUUCAUCCGACGCCCUCAACAUUGUUAUAAUCCAAAACACGUUGCACUUGUCCCCCUUGCUGAGCCCUCCUGGACAUCCUAUUGAAUUUCGCAGACAAGGAGUCUGCCAGGCAUUAUGUUUGUUGCUCAUUAUAAUGACUACAUAUGACUAAGAUCCAGGAAAAUUAGAAACAUUUUCUUUGUAGUUGCAUCUUAAAUAAUUGCUUGUU